AUGACUCUAGAUCACAAACAACCCACUACUCCUCCUCAAACCGCCAUGGUAACAUGGCAGCCCCGUCUCAAGAUCUCCCUAUUCAGACGGCGGAAAGUACAAACAGUUCGGCUAGGCGGCAAGUCACCACGACGGCGACUAAUUGGCGGGAUAGUUAGAAUAUUUAGAAGGAUGCGUGUAAAGUGGCUUAAGUUACAAUAUCUUAAGUUGUUCAAACGUCUUAAAGAACAUUAUAGAAACGUUGUGAAAGAUCUUAUUGAAGCUGGUGCUACCGUUGAAACUUUUCAUCAACGGCUUUUUAUGGAAAGCACUUUUGCUAUUCCUCUUGGUGUUAACUUAUCUACUUAUCCUUCUAGGUUUGGAUCAGAUCACCCUCGAACUGUCUUCAUGUAA